rnacentral:rRNA from 1 species
AUUGAACGCUGGCGGCAGGCCUAACACAUGCAAGUCGAGCGGAUGAAGGGAGCUUGCUCCUGGAUUCAGCGGCGGACGGGUGAGUAAUGCCUAGGAAUCUGCCUGGUAGUGGGGGAUAACGUCCGGAAACGGGCGCUAAUACCGCAUACGUCCUGAGGGAGAAAGUGGGUGAUCUUCGGACCUCACGCUAUCAGAUGAGCCUAGGUCGGAUUAGCUAGUUGGUGGGGUAAAGGCCUACCAAGGCGACGAUCCGUAACUGGUCUGAGAGGAUGAUCAGUCACACGGGAAGUGAGACACGGUCCAGACUCCUACGGGAGGCAGCAGUGGGGAAUAUUGGACAAUGGGCGAAAGCCUGAUCCAGCCAUGCCGCGUGUGUGAAGAAGGUCUUCGGAUUGUAAAGCACUUUAAGUUGGGAGGAAGGGCAGUAAGUUAAUACCUUGCUGUUUUGACGUUACCAACAGAAUAAGCACCGGCUAACUUCGUG